rnacentral:rRNA from 1 species
GAAAUGCGAUAAGUAAUGUGAAUUGCAGAAUUCAGUGAAUCAUCGAAUCUUUGAACGCACCUUGCGCUCCUUGGUAUUCCUCGGAGCAUGCCUGUUUGAGUAUCAUGAAACUCUCAAAGAAAAUCUUUUGUUAAUUCAAUUGGUUUGCUUUGGACUUGGAGGUUUUUUUUGCAGAUUAAUUUCUGCUCCUCUUAAAUGUAUUAGCUGGAUCUCAGUAUAUGCUCGGUUCCACUCGGCGUGAUAAGUAUCACUCGCUGAGGACACUGUUAAAAAGGUGGCCGGGAAAUACAGAUGAACCGCUUCGAACAGUCCAUUCACUUGGACAAAUAAGUUUUAAGAUCUGAUCUCAAAUCAGGUAGGACUACCCGCUGAACUUAAGCAUAUCAAUAAGCGGAGGAAAAGAAACU